CAGACGGAGUCUCGCUCUGUCGCCCAGGCUGGAGUGCAGUGGUGCGAUCUCCAUUCACUGCAAACUCCGCCUCCCAGGUUCAAGUGAUUCACCUGCCUCAGCCUCCUGAGUAGCUGGGAUUACAGGCGCCUGCCAUCGCACCUGGCUAAUUUUUGUAUUUUUAGUAGAGACGGAGUUUCACCAUGUUGGCCAGGCUGGUCUUGAACUAUCGACCUCGUGAUCCACCCGCCUCAGCCACCAAAAGUGCUGGGAUUACAGGCAUGAGCCAUCGUGCCCGGCCGAAUUUUUUUUCUGAAUCAGAAAAGCACUGCCUCUUCUAUUGAUUUAUUCAGCUGGUUAAAUCUUGACUCCCAGAAAUCUUUGCUCAGAGGAAGUUUUUCAGUCCUCGGCUAUUAUUCUCUGUAUGGCUAUUGGGUUUACCCCUGGUGUAUCGUAUGCUCCCAAGGGUUUUAAAUGCUCCCCAGCAGCCAAUUGAACAUCAAAUGAUUGCCAUCCGGCUCAGACAACUUGAGGAAACCAACAACGACUAUGUAAUUGCUGGCAGUGAUGUGACUUUGAACCCAGCAUAUCUUUUGAUAAUGGUAACAUCUUCCUGACUCUUCAUCCCAGCAAGUGCAUCAAUAGUGCUAAGCAAGAGGAAAGCUGUGCGAUUUGGUCACACUCUGGGCUUGCUGAAGGAGUGACCGAAGUGGGAGAAAUGUUAAAAGAACAAAAUUAAAAUGAAGACUGAGGCCUGAAAAACUUCUGAGCAAACAAAAUCAGAAUAAGACACAGGACCCACAUGUCAAUCAAACUGACGAUCGUUUCCAUCAGGACCAUGCCAUGGGCGUUCCUCAAGGAAGGUGGAAG
rnacentral:lncRNA from 1 species